ACUUGGCACUUUUGAGCAAUUAUUAAAGUAUUGUAGUAUUAGUAAUUAUCUUCAUGGAAAUUUAUUCUAUUUUUUUCAUAUGUGAAUUGCAAUGUCAAGGGUUUAUAGUUGUGCUAUAAUAUGGCCUUGCAUUGGAUGAGUUAGAUUAGUGUAGUGAGGAGGCUAAGAUGCAAGGCGGUAGUGGUCCUACAUUCAUGGACUAUGAGGAUUUUGCACAAUGUUGGAGCUGAUUUUUAAUUGGCAUUGACUAUCAUUUAGCAGCAUUGAUAGUCCUUGAGAUUUUUUGCUUUAGUAUUAAAGUACCAAGGCUCCCAUUUUGGUAUCGAUGAGAUAAUUUUUUUUUCUUUUUAAUUAUGAUUCAUGUAUUAACAAUGGUGCUAUAACACAAUUUGAUUUCUUAUAAUUGAAGAAGUCUCAAAUUGU
rnacentral:lncRNA from 1 species